CACCUUGUGACCAAGAGGUAACAAGCCUGACAGCAAAAAGCCAAGACGCUUAGGAAGUGAGAGGGCAAAUGAAGAGAACCGUGUCUUUGACGGCAUCACUGAGCUAUGGGAACAACUCCAGGACCACCUACAUCCAGACUACUGGUUAAGUAAACAAUAAAUGUCUUUAUGGCUUAAGUCCCUGUUACUUGACACCAAAAGCAUUCUUCAGCAAUCCAGAAAGUGACGUCUGGGAUGCAGGUAAGAGAAAUCUGCCUGCAGCAAUGGCUGGUUUAUUCUUUUGAAACUGUGCCCCAUAGACUAAAGAGGGGAAAGCACAGUGCUUUAUUUAUUCAAAUAUAAUUUACUGUCAACUUGGCUAACAUACAGUGUGCUCUUAGUUUUGGGGGUAGAUCCCCAUGAUUCAUCCCUUACAUACAACACUGUGCUUUCUGAUGCCUGGGAGCCAUUGCAGCCGCUUCCUUGAGAAUGGCACCCGGGGCUCAGGACAAUGAUAUUAAUGAUAGUUAAUAAACAGAGCAAGAACACAAACAAUUAGUUGGCUCUUAGAGUUCAGUGAAACACAGUGUAAGUAUAAGGCAGACAGGAGAGCAAAAACAUGGUCUUUUUUUCACAUCCCGUGUUUCCCUCUAUGGUUUAGUCUGUCCACACUCACGGGUUUAGAAGUAUGUCCCCCAGCUCAAAGUCUGGAUGGUUUCUCUCUUGAGGAGCAUACCCAUUUGUAUUUCAAAUUUGCAUUGGUGUACGGGAGGGAUCUAUGGGCGGGAGCAGAGGUCUGCCAGGGGAGAACUAGUAUAUGACUAUGUGUGGGGUGGGUUACUUUCUCCCUUAGGAAGUUCACAACCAAGGUGGAUCUCCACUGUGCAACAGAGUUCCUAAUAACGUAAACCGCCAGCUGACCAGAUUGGCUAAGUGGUGUCCUGUCCCUACCUGGCUUGAUUACCAAACUAGCUGGAUGUUUAGGAGGGAGGUAUACGUGUUUCUUUCCAGAAAACACUCCUAUGCAGAGCACAGCCAGAUUGGCCUCAAAAGUGAGCUGACAAACUAGAAAAACUGGGUUUAUUAUACUUCGGAGUUGUUCCUUAAAUGAUAACCGUGACUAACAGGCAUCGGUUGGCUUUUUCUGGUUUAACUGAAAAGCAAAUGGUAUAUUAAGCUUAACUUUGUUGUAUUUUUCUUCUUAUGCUAGAGAUUUAAACUCCCUCAUUUCUGCUCUAUUAUUUUGUAAAUACCAAUCAAUCUAUCUGUUUUUCCUUGAAACUUGAUUUCUUCAAGUACACUCAUUCAGCAGGUAUAUAUUGUGUGCCUUCAUAUGAGUGAGAGAGUCUAGGUGUGUGGGUGUAAGAGAGACAGAAGGAGGGGGGCGGUGGGGAGUAUGCGAGGGAGAGAGAGGAUGAGCACAGCAUCCUUUCAGGAGCCCUGUAUCCAGAAAUGAAAACCAUGAAUGGGCUCUAGUGCAUGAAACUGAGGUUCAAUUGGAUUAGGAAAAGUACUCUAAAAACACUGAAAGGCUCUGUUGCCAGGCACACUGCUGGCUGGAGAAUGCGGAACAAAGAUAAAAUUGUCAGAACAUCCUGUCUCCACCUACGCCAGGAAGGUCAAGUCUAAGAUGCUUGUCGAAGGGCUCAGGCAAUCAGAAGAUUGGAAGCAACGUAUUAAUAAGAGAACAUGCCCCGAAGCUCUGGCCCAUGAAAACAGCUCCUGAAUCACAAUGGAGCCACAACCCGAAGGUCACCAUGGACAGAAAGAACCAGCUAUGCCUGCCACCUGAAAAAGAUGGAUGCUUCUUGAGAGCUAAGUGACCAAAGUGACCAGCAGAAUGUCUCGCCCCGAAGAAAAAGGUUCUUUCAGUGGCCUGCCAGAAAGGAGGUAGUGAUAUUGACAUGCACUGCACAGAAUCUUUUCCUGUGUCAUUCAUAACCCGAUCAAGUUGGACAUGGAAACCUUUUCAGCAUGGCUGUGUUAAUGUUUGAGGAGAUCCUUCUUGGCAUCUGAAUCUUUCUUAAAGUGUUGCAACCUGUUGGACUCUCCUUAGCAAAGUUAAAAUAGGGCAAUUUGUUUUUGACUUCUGUUUUUCACUUCAUUCUCAGAGCAUAGUCCAUAGCACAGGUGAUUGAUUCAAAAUGGAUUUGAGGGUGACAAAGUAACCACUACAGGUGGGAUGCAGGAGAGGACAGUGAAGACGACGGAGGAGAAGAAAUGAUAUGGGGCAGACAAGAGGGCACUGGAAGAUUAACAGAUACUACUGAUGCUCUUAACAAAAUCGUUCUGGGAAAAAAGUUAGAAAAUGUCUUCGUGCAUAAAGUGUAAUACAGAUUAAGUAAUUUAUGAUCUGAAUGUCUGCAGAGAAGGAUGACUUUUUAUUUUUCUGAUAAGAAUUAUAUAGGUGUAUGCAAAUGAAUACAGGCAAAACUGUAAAAAUAUACACACAUUCAUGGAUAUGCCAUUGUGUGUGCAUCUGGGUGCACAAACAUGCAUAUGUGCACCUUAAAUAAAUGAAUCCAUAUGCAAAGGAA